AUGGAGAAACAAAAACCUUUCCAUGAUGAGCACAGGAUAAAGGAAUUCGCAAAUACUAAACCAGCAUUGGAAAAGACCAUUGAGCCCAGGUCUUCGGAGUCCCCCUUGCCAAGAUGCCAUUGCCCAAAACCUGCGUGCGACAUAGGACCAUUUGUCCUCAUCUUCCCUCCAAACCCGAAGGACACACUCAUGAUCUCCCAAGUCCCCAAGGUCACCUGUGUGGUGGGAGACCUGAGCCGGGAUAACCCAGAGGUCGAGAUCACCUGGUUCAUGGAUGAUGUGGAGGUACACGAGGCCCAGACCCAGCGCCCAGAACAGCAGUACAACAGCACACUCCGAGUGGUCAGCGUCCUGCCCAUCCAGCACCAGGACUGGCUGUCGGGAAAGGAGUUCAAGUGCAGAGUCAAGAACAACGACCUCCCAGCCCCCAUCGAGAAAACCAUCUCCAAAGUCAAAGGGCAACCCCGAGAGCCACAAGUGUACGUCUUGCCACCACCAAAGGAGCAGAUGACCAACACAAAGCUCAGCCUGACCUGCUUGGCACAAGGAUUCUACCCUGAGGAUAUCUUUGUGGAAUGGAGGAGCAAUGGCCAGCCAGAGGAGAGCUACAAGAACAGCCCGCCCGUCAUGGACUCCGAUGGGUCCUACUUCCUCUACAGCAAGCUGCCAGUAGACAAGAGCAGGUGGGAG